GCUCGGGCCGGGCUCGGGAGAGGGCUGGAUCAUGGACGGGCUCCGGGCUAGCGCGGGGCUGUUGAGGCGCGGGCGGUUAAGGCGCCGGCGCCAGCCACAGCCACACAGCGGGUCGGUCCUGGCCCUGCCCUUGAGGCCCAGGAAGAUCCGAAGGCAGCUGAGGAGAAGUGUUGCGUCCCGCAUGGCCGCGCUGAGGGCCCAGACGCUGCCGAGCGAGGACUCGGAGGACUCCAGGGUGGAGUCGACGGUGGACGAUCCCGGGGACCCGCUGCCUGGUGGGGCGGCGGCCCUCUCAGAUGCGGCCCGGCGAGAGCCGUACGGCCCCCUCGGGCCUGCAGAGCUGCUGGAGGCUUCGCCCGGGGCCCGCUCGCUGCAGACCCCGCCGGCGCGCCUGGUGCCGGCGUCCGCGCCGCCCGCGCGCCUGGUGGAGGUGCCCGCCGCGCCGGCCCGCGUGGUGGAGACGUCGGCCCUGCUGUGCUCUGCUCCACACUUGGCGGCCGCCCCACCGUCCGUGGUUCCUGCGACGCUCUCGGGGCCGCAGGUGGAUAGCACAGGCGGGGAGCUAUCCUGGGACUCCCCGCUGCAGCGCGUCUUGGCCGAGCUGAACCGCAUCCCAAGCAGCCGGCGACGGGCGGCGCGCCUCUUUGAGUGGCUCAUCGCGCCCAUGCCGCCGGAUCAUUUCUAUCGGCGCCUGUGGGAGCGGGAGGCGGUGCUGGUGCGGCGGCAGGACCACACCUACUACCAGGGUCUUUUCUCUACCGCCGACCUGGACUCCAUGCUGCGCGACGAGGAGGUGCAGUUCGGGCAGCACCUGGACGCGGCGCGCUACAUCAACGGGCGGCGAGAGACUCUGAACCCGCCCGGCCGCGCCCUGCCCGCAGCCGCGUGGUCCCUGUACCAGGCCGGCUGCUCCCUGCGCCUCCUCUGUCCGCAGGCUUUCUCGACCACCGUGUGGCAGUUUUUGGCUGUGCUCCAGGAGCAGUUUGGAAGCAUGGCAGGCUCCAACAUUUACCUCACGCCCCCCAACUCGCAAGGCUUUGCCCCCCACUACGACGACAUCGAGGCUUUUGUGCUGCAGCUGGAAGGAAGGAAACUCUGGCGUGUCUACCGACCCCGGAUCCCCACUGAGGAACUCGCCCUGACAUCCAGCCCCAACUUCACCCAGGAUGACCUCGGUGAGCCAGUGCUGCAGACUGUGCUGGAACCUGGAGAUUUGCUCUAUUUUCCCCGGGGCUUCAUUCACCAAGCCGAAUGCCAGGAUGGAGUGCACUCUCUGCACCUCACCUUGUCCACGUACCAGCGCAAUACGUGGGGCGACUUCCUGGAGGCCGUACUGCCUCUGGCAGUGCAGGCUGCAAUGGAAGAAAACGUGGAGUUUCGUAGGGGUCUGCCCCGAGACUUCAUGGAUUACAUGGGGGCCCAGCAUUCGGAUUCUAAGGAUCCGCGAAGAACCGCUUUCAUGGAGAAGGUGCGGGUCUUGGUUGCCCGCUUGGGACACUUUGCCCCUGUCGAUGCUGUGGCUGACCAGCGAGCCAAAGACUUCAUCCACGAUUCUCUGCCUCCUGUGUUGACUGAUAGGGAAAGGGCACUAAGUGUUUAUGGGCUCCCAAUUCGCUGGGAGGCUGGAGAACCUGUAAACGUGGGCGCCCAGUUGACAACAGAAACAGAAGUGCACAUGCUUCAGGAUGGGAUAGCUCGGCUGGUGGGGGAGGGAGGCCAUUUGUUUCUCUAUUAUACAGUGGAAAACUCCCGUGUUUAUCAUCUGGAAGAACCCAAGUGUUUGGAGAUAUACCCCCAGCAAGCUGAUGCCAUGGAACUCUUGCUCCGCUCCUACCCAGAGUUUGUGAGAGUAGGGGACCUGCCCUGUGACAGUGUGGAAGACCAGCUUUCCUUGGCAACCAUGUUAUAUGAUAAGGGGCUGCUGCUCACCAAGAUGCCUCUAACCUGAACUAAUUUCUUGUUGAUUGCUGGAAACAACACAGUAGUGAUUCUCUCCUACCACCACCACCUUUUUUGGGGAAAAACUCAUGUUCUUACCUUUAUAACCAUCAGUGUGUUCUCACAUUUACCUUUAUGACUUCUUCAAUGUCACAAAUCUCAGAUGGUCUUCUAGGAACCACCACCUCAUCUAGGCACAAAAUAAAAGCAGAAGUUGGAGGUGGAAAAAAGAGCUAUUUCUGCAGAAGUAACCUCGAUCCCUGAUCAUUUCAGAGCACCAACUUCAUCAUCACCCUCAGGCUUCAGUGUACUGUGUAGCACUUGCUGGGUCACUCUGCUUGAGACAUUAGAAGUUUUUUUUUGGAAUUUGCAUUCUUCAUUUGAGUUCUGUUUCAUCAGUUUGGGGGGAGGGUUGGGUUGGAAGAAACUUCCCCAAAUCUGGCAAGUGAAUAUUCUCAUGGUUGAUGGAAAAGAGCCUGGUGUACCAGAGAGCACUGGACUUGGAACCAGAAGACCUAGGUUUGGGGUGGUGGCUGGUAGGCAGCUGGCUGAAUGACCUGAGGCUGCUGCUACACCUGGGCACACAGAUUUUAAUGAAAAAUGAUGUACAGAGUGUUGAAUCAGGGGUUUGAUGUACUUCUCUGGAAGCAUUAAGAUGGGAUCUGCAUUAUUGCUGUUUCAAGAGCUGCAGGUCGCUGGCGGAAGUGAGCUCAUCCCGGAUGUGACUCCAGUCACGUUGCUGGCGCAGGAAGCUCUGCCACUUGUUGGGGGACACCCCAGGCCUGAGAGGACGCUUGUUCUGGAUCCAUCGGGCAGUGCGCUUGUUCAGUUUUUCCAGCAUGAUGGCCUCCCAGGCUCUAGCCUCCUUCUCAGGCGGCAGAAGCCAGGCUUCCCUCUCCUCCAGGUUCACAUCUGGAGAAAGUGACAGACCUAGCACGUCUGGAUCCUGGCAGGGAUGAAGAAUGAGAGGGCAAGAUGUUUCCGGGACUGCACUCGCCGGCUCUGCUUUCUUCAGCUUCUUAAGAUUGGCAGAGGUUUCUGUCUUCAUAGCUUGGGAGGUGACUCUUGCCGAGGGACCUGAAGAAUCUAAGAACUUGAAGCCAAUGGGUUUGUCAGGUCGGGCCUUCCUGAUCUGGGGAGGCUGGAGGAUGUUGUGUAUGUUAUAGAGGUGGUCAAAGCUGUACUGGCUGUAAGAAAUGCUGGGCAGGCCUCGCUGCCACACCACCUCCUGAGAGAAGAUAUCAAAAUUGAGGCCCAGAGACAUGACUAAGAUCAUCAUACUGGGGAUAGACUCUUGGACUCACGUGACACAUCUAAAGAAAGCACCAAAUCCUGAUUGGACCUGCACACUAUCUGGUAACCUGAAGGUAAAGAUUUCCUGGAAUUGAAGCACAUGACAUCUGAUGAGACAGCUUCCCAAGAUAUCCAAACCAGGACUAGUAGAAGGAUACAAACUUAGAUAGGAAAUGCCUGAGAGGUCUCCCUCCUACCGCUCCUGUUACACACAUGUGACCUUAGUAGGUUUCCAUCUGUUCAUUUUCCCUCUGACAUGGGACACGACACCCAUGAAAGGUCAUUCCUGGCAUCAAGGGGCAAAAGGCUGCUGAAUCUGGAAAAACCUGACUCUUGAUCAGCCAUGCUUUCAGAGAAAGAUCUUAAAAGGGGAAAAUGUGAAAAUUAAUAACAGAAACCUCGUUUAAAAUGGAAUCAGGAGGCAAGAAGAGAGAACUCUCACCCACGUGCAACUCAACACACAACAUAGACUCCAACAGGAAGAGAUGUACCUUGCAUGUCGGACAGGAAGUGAUACUACCCCAGCAGAAGGAAGAAAUUCCCCAGCAACAGCUCAGCCAAUGAGAGACUGCCAUAACUCAGUCAAUGAAAAGCACUACACUUCCAAUGGACUCUUCGUUUACAACAGGCCCUCCCAACUUCAUAAAAGAAUGUUUCUCUCCUUUGUUUCUCUGGACUUGCGUGUAGUUCUCCCUAGCCACAUGUCCCGAAUUGCAAUUGUUUGCAGUUCUCGAAUAAACCCAUUCUGCUGAUAAAAUAACUGGCUGCUUAUUUGUUUUAGGU